rnacentral:rRNA from 1 species
UGGGACCCGAAAGAUGGUGAACUAUGCCUGGUCAGGACGAAGUCAGGGGAAACCCUGAUGGAGGUCCGUAGCGAUUCUGACGUGCAAAUCGAUCGUCGGAACUGGGUAUAGGGGCGAAAGACUAAUCGAACCAUCUAGUAGCUGGUUCCCUCCGAAGUUUCCCUCAGGAUAGCUGGCGCUCGCUGUGUGCGAGUCUCAUCCGGUAAAGCGAAUGAUUAGAGGCAUUGGGGUCGAAACGGCCUCAACCUAUUCUCAAACUUUAAAUGGGUGAGAUCUCCGGCUUGCUCGAACUAUGAAGCCGCGAGACCUCGGAUCAGAGUGCCAAGUGGGCCACUUUUGGUAAGCAGAACUGGCGCUGUGGGAUGAACCAAACGCCGAGUUAAAGCGCCCAAAUCGACGCUUAUGGGAUACCAUGAAAGGCGU